UCAGGAUGAACGCAGCGGCAGGCUAACACAUGCAAGUCGAGGGGCAUCGGGAGUAGCAAUACUGCCGGCGACCGGCGCAAGGGUGCGUAACGCGUGAGCAACAUGCCCGUAUCAGGGGGAUAAUCCAUGGAAACGUGGUCUAAUACCCCAUAGUAAUUAUGUAAGGCAUCUUAUAUAAUUUAAAGCUUUGGUGGAUACGGAUUGGCUCGCGUGACAUUAGCUGGAUGGUAAGGUAACGGCUUACCAUGGCUACGAUGUCUAGGGGUUCUGAGAGGAAGGUCCCCCACACUGGAACUGAGACACGGUCCAGACUCCUACGGGAGGCAGCAGUGAGGAAUAUUGGACAAUGGACGAGAGUCUGAACCAGCCAAGUUAAGCGUGAAGGAUGACUGCCCUAUGGGUUGUAAACUUCUUUUAUAAGGGAAUAAAGUGAGGGACGUGUCCCUUUUUGUAUGUACCUUAUGAAUAAGGAUCGGCUAACUCCGUGCCAGCAGCCGC
rnacentral:rRNA from 1 species